CCUACACGACCGUACCGCAAACCGACACUGGUGCGCGAGAUGAGUAUUCUAAGGCGCUUGAGAGAACUCAGGAGAAGGAACUCGGCAAAUUGACACCGUAACUUCGGAAGAAGGUGUGCCUUUAGUAGGUGAACCAUUUACUUGGGGAGCCCAAUGAGGCUGCAAAAAAUCGGUGGCUGCAACUGUUUAUUAAAAACACAGUACUCUGCUAAGACGAAAGUCGACGUAUAGGGUGUGACGCCUGCCCGGUGCUGGAAGAUUAAAUGAUGGGGUGCAAGCUCUUGAUUGAAGUCCCAGUAAACGGCGGCCGUAACUAUAACGGUCCUAAGGUAGCGAAAUUCCUUGUCGGGUAAGUUCCGACCUGCACGAAUGGCGUAAUGAUGGCCACACUGUCUCCUCCUGAGACUCAGCGAAGUUGAAAUGUUUGUGAUGAUGCAAUCUCCCCGCGGAAAGACGGAAAGACCCCAUGAACCUUUACUGUAGCUUUGUAUUGGACUUUGAACAGAUCUGUGUAGGAUAGGUGGGAGGCUUUGAAGUGUGGUCGCUAGAUCGCAUGGAGCCAACGUUGAAAUACCACCCUGGUGUGUUUGAGGUUCUAACCUAGGUCCAUUAUCUGGAUCGGGGACAGUGCAUGGUAGGCAGUUUGACUGGGGCGGUCUCCUCCCAAAGUGUAACGGAGGAGUUCGAAGGUACGCUAGGUACGGUCGGACAUCGUGCUAAUAGUGCAAUGGCAUAAGCGUGCUUAACUGCGAGACUGACAAGUCGAGCAGAUGCGAAAGCAGGACAUAGUGAUCCGGUGGUUCUGUAUGGAAGGGCCAUCGCUCAACGGAUAAAAGGUACUCUGGGGAUAACAGGCUGAUACCGCCCAAGAGUUCAUAUCGACGGCGGUGUUUGGCACCUCGAUGUCGGCUCAUCUCAUCCUGGGGCUGUAGCCGGUCCCAAGGGUAUGGCUGUUCGCCAUUUAAAGAGGUACGUGAGCUGGGUUUAAAACGUCGUGAGACAGUUUGGUCCCUAUCUUCCGUGGGCGCUGCAGAUUUGAGGAAGCCUGCUCCUAGUACGAGAGGACCGGAGUGGACGAACCUCUGGUGUAUCGGUUGUCACGCCAGUGGCAUUGCCGAGUAGCUAAGUUCGGAAGAGAUAACCGCUGAAAGCAUCUAAGCGGGAAACUCGUUUCAAGAUUAGAUCUGCCGGGGCCUUGAGCCCCCUAAAGAGUCGUUCAAGACCAGGACGUUGAUAGGUCAGGUGUGGAAGUG
rnacentral:rRNA from 1 species